CCUACGGGAGGCUGCAGUGGGGAAUAUUGGACAAUGGGCGAAAGCCUGAUCCAGCCAUGCCGCGUGUGUGAAGAAGGCCUUCGGGUUGUAAAGCACUUUCAGUGGGGAAGAAAGCCUUGGGGCUAAUACCCUCGAGGAAGGACAUCACCCACAGAAGAAGCACCGGCUAACUCCGUGCCAGCAGCCGCGGUAAUACGGAGGGUGCGAGCGUUAAUCGGAAUUACUGGGCGUAAAGCGCGCGUAGGCGGUCUGAUAAGCCGGUUGUGAAAGCCCCGGGCUCAACCUGGGAACGGCAUCCGGAACUGUCAGGCUAGAGUGCAGGAGAGGAAGGUAGAAUUCCCGGUGUAGCGGUGAAAUGCGUAGAGAUCGGGAGGAAUACCAGUGGCGAAGGCGGCCUUCUGGACUGACACUGACGCUGAGGUGCGAAAGCGUGGGUAGCAAACAGGAUUAGAUACCCUUGAGUC
rnacentral:rRNA from 1 species